GACGAACGCUGGCGGCGUGCCUAAUACAUGCAAGUAGAACGCUGAAGCUUGGUGCUUGCCCCGAGCGGAUGAGUUGCGGACGGGUGAGUAACGCGUAGGUAACCUGCCUGGUAGCGGGGGAUAACUAUUGGAAACGAUAGCUAAUACCGCAUAAGAGUAUAUGUUGCAUGACAUUUGCUUAAAAGGUGCAAUUGCAUCACUACCAGAUGGACCUGCGUUGUAUUAGCUAGUUGGUGAGGUAACGGCUCACCAAGGCAACGAUACAUAGCCGACCUGAGAGGGUGGUCGGCCCAAACGGGACUGGGACACGGCCCAGAAUCCUAAGGGAGGCAGCAGUAGGGAAUCUUCGGCAAUGGACGGAAGUCUGACCGAGCAAAGCCGCGGGAGUGAAGAAGGUUUUCGGAUCGGAAAGCUCUGUUGUAAGAGAAGAAAGAGUGUGAGAGUGGAAAGUUCACACUGUGACGGUAUCUUAUCAGAAAGGGACGGCUAACUACGUG
rnacentral:rRNA from 1 species